AUGAAUGGGAGGUCCAAGGGGCUCCGGGCGGCCGUGACCCUGCUGGAGUGCGGGGGGGACCUCCAGCCCCCCGGGGGGUCCCUGCGCCUCCUCUGCCGAGGGUCCGGCUUCAGUUUUGGGAAUUAUGAAAUGGAUUGGGUUCGCCAGAGACCUGGACAGGGGCUGGAGUGGCUCGCAGGGAUCUACAGCAAUGGUGCUUACAUCUACUACGCGCCGUCGGUCAAGGGCCGUUUCACGAUCUCCAGGGACAACAGGCAGAGCUCGGUGACGCUGACCAUGAACAACCUCAAGGACGAGGAUUCCGGAUCCUAUUUCUGUGCCAAGGGUGAUCGUGGUGCUUGGGCUGAAAGUGCUGGAUUUGUUGACGUGACUCAUGGUGUCUCCAUCCCCAUCUCCGAGUCCCCCCCGUCCCCAGAGCCCAGACCCUUCCCCCAGACCCCAGCCCCAGACCCAGCUCUUGACCAUUGA